UGAAGCUGAGUUGAUCGCCACCGUGACCCGGAGUUGGUAGAGAUCGGCCUGUGAUCUGUUGCCGUGUCGUUAGAAUAAAAGUCGUGUGCGGUUGGUGAUGUGUCCGUGAGUGUGUGUUUAGUUUCUGUCCUGUCGUUGUGUCCUGCUAUGGCGAGCUAUCCGAUGUAAUAAGCAUUUGGCACUUGUGCUUGUUUUUCAAACCAUGGAUCGUGAUGAGAACCUCUGUACUGUGGUGCAAUCCUUUCAUCUAUGCGAAUGGUCUUUAUUGUCUACUCGUAUAUCUUAAUCGGUGCGGUUUUCUGGAACCUGCCUACACCAGAUUAAGCAAAAACAAUUAAAAAUACUAAAGAAAUCUGCAAAUAUGAAACUUUACCGUAACAAGCAAUGUCUACUGUAUGUCGAGGUGUGUUUUCGUAUCUAUACUAAACCUAUCCUACAGCGACCCGAUCCUAAACCUAUCCUACGGCGGCGGCGCCCGACGUCCUUCGUCCAUCGUAGAAGGACUGACCCACAUGGAACACAAGGCCUUGUCGCCUUUCAUGCCUUGCUCAUUCUUGCAGGAGUCCGCGCCGUGAGGUCCAUGAUGGAAAUGGUGUCGCUCGCCCUGUUGUCGUCCCACCUUGCUGCCGGAUAGUUCGUCGGCAACGCAUAGGAGGCGCAACUGGUGUUGUUCUCCUUCGCGAUCCCCUGGAGCUGGGCCUCGAUGACGGCCGCUUCCUGGCGAGCGACGGCUUCAGCGCGGACGACAUCGUAGAUGGCACGCUGCUCCGCGACGAAAUUGGGGUUCGCAUCGGCCAUAGUCGCCACGGCCUCCUCGCUCGCCGCAGAUCUGGCCCUCCGUCAGCCGGUGCUGCUCCAGGAGGAACAGGUUAUACCGUUGUUCCUCCUGCGCCCGCUGGACGCCGAAAGGCGCUGACGCAAGCUGCAUCUCCGUCAUGGCGGCAUUGUAGUGCUCUUGCGCAUGCUCCAUGGUGAAGCCGGCGUGCACAGGAGGUGCUGGAGCCGGGGCGGUGUCGUCGGAGCCCGUCUUCAUCGUGGUGUCGUCCUCGUCAUCGGACACCUCGGGAGAGCUGGCCGGCAAACCGGUCUCGAUCCGCCUGGCACGGGGGCAGCAAGGGCGGCCACCACGUGCUUCAUCUCAGUGGAAAGGUUCUCCCACAAAGCUUCGCCAAGCUUCGCCGCUUGCAGUCAUGGCAGAUGCAAUGCAAGGGAGUAGGAUGUGGAGCGGCUUGUCUUGGCAUAGAGUUGGUCGGGUGUGGCCGCCUUUAAAUAGCGAAUUUCAGUGAGACCAACCGUUCGGGUGCGUCAAUGCGCAGCGGCGGAGUGGGUUUCACAGCCGUUAAGCCUAUUUAAUGGCGGCUUACGGACGGACGGGCCAUUCAACGGGCGUGGUAGAUAUCCGUCCCGUCCCAUCCAGUAAUGCGUCUUCGGCAUUGAACAGGCGCAAACGUGUCGCGGGUUGUGCCCUCGUCCGGCGUGCCGUUUCAAUGACGGUGGCAAUGAGAGGUCGCGUCCAUCCUGAGCCGUUUUUAAUGUGGUGUGGUGCGCGCGACAGCGGAAUGAAUGUGGACAGCUGGCGCCGGACGGGAACACGCACGGCGAGGAAGGAGGGGGUUUGGGUGGACCAGGCGGUCAGAAGCGGGUGUGGCAGCGGUCCGAACUCUCGCAAAACUCCCCAUGGUUGUCUUCGGUUUGCAGAAAAAAAAACAUCUGCAGAUCGCUCUACGGAUCAAUACAGGUCCGCGAUAGCUUCUACGAUGAAGAUGCAAUUGUGCUAGCCUGACCGAGUGAUGCACACAAUCUUUGACCGAUAUUGAUUUACUAUUUAAAAGUUCAUGUAAAAACAAUAAAGUUCAUAAGAAAAUGCCAUACAUGGCUGCCCCAACGGUAAAUAUAAAAAACACAGAAAUUAUUUUUUCAUGCAUCUUAAAUCCUAGUAGGUUGCUAACAAUUCGAUUGAACAAAUUUCGAGAGAGAUCAUCUCCCGUCGAAAACCGUGGGCGCCUUAUCCUCCUCUUUUUGUAGCAAUGACUACAUAUGGGAUGCCCUGAAAAUAAGUUGUAAUUUUUUGGAACAAAAUUAUUACAAGUGUUUCAAAUGGCCCAAUGCGUGUAAAUUCUCAGAAACUUCAACUUUGGAUGCACCCUCACUAAUCACUUUUCAAACAUAUUCAUACUACUUGUGGGUGGAGGUAGACUAAAAGCUAUAUGGACGUAUCACCAUAAUAAUUUGGCAAGCGAGCAGAAGGAAUAAAAGGCCGGAUGAACUCCUCAUCCCAACAAAAGCAACACCUAGUGCAUUCUUGCCAAUUCUUUUCUCCAGACUAGGUAAUUGUCCGUGCGUUGCAAUGGGGAUAAGAAAAAAAGUAUGGAUGCACUAAUUAAAGGGUCGUCAUAUUUUUACAUAAGCAUCACAGUUCUACGAUUUCCACCCACCCACCUUGUGCCGAGCACCCUCGUAUAUACUCAUCCUCCUUACCACCCACCAUCCCAUUCCACACGACAAGUAGACAAGGCAUCCCUUUUUCCUCUCUCCCCACCCUUUACUGGACAUUAUUUUUAAUUAUCCGACAUGCAAAAAUCAAUAAAUCAUUCAUCUCAAACAUGUAUUUGUAGGAUCUUCGUGCACAUCAAACAACACUGUCCACUAUUGUUUUACGUUAAAUCACUCUUCUUCGAGUAGGCUAAGCAGUCUCAGUGGAGUAACUUCGCCCCUUGUCCCUCCAAAGCAGGUCCAUGCAGCUAAGCAACCCUUGACACGCGAAAAAGAAAACACAGAGGAAAACAUGCAACCAAACAAGGUCUCGCAGGACAAAAUAACCUGGUGACUUGUGUGAGUGCCUACAAAAAAAUCAUGUGCAGGAAGGAGAGGGGGAUGGUGGAUAGAAGAACCAUCAUUAUAUCAACCUACCAUUCAAAGCUCAAAGAAGUUUUUAGGAAGAAUACAAAAUAUAAGUAAAUCUCAAUAGGUAAAGUUAAUGGCAAGGUACAUCGUUUUUCUUUCAAAAGGAAUAUCCACGGCCCAUCAUUUGUGAUGCACACAUCCAUCUUUUAUUGAAUAAAAUUCAAAUGUUCAAGGGAUUUAGAAUAAUAGAAAAGGAAAAAACUACAACCUCUAGCAAAAAAGGAUUACAUGACACGUUCACAUAAUUUACUAAAGAAGCUGUGUAAUGUUAUAACACACACACCGAAGGUAAUAAAGAAAACAAAAUACCCCCUACUUUCCACCAAUUGUAACAAUCUUUGAAGUCAUUAUUAACAAACUAAAAGGCUUUGGCCUAUGCAUUCAAUUGUUCUACAUGAAUAAAGGGUUGUCAUUGCGUACAAUUUGAUGUGUGCAAAUAAUAUACAUUUUAUAAUCAUGACACAAUCUAAAUCCUAAUAGCACUGGUAGCUUCAACUUGAGAAUUGAUGGGAGUUAUAAUAUGGCUUUGAAGGCAAAUACCAGCUCCUUGCUAUAGUUCUUCCUUGCAACCUGCACCAAAACCGACAUGGCAAACACAACUUUGAAGCCCACAACCAUGACACCACUUUUGCAAGUUGCUCAAAACACGAACUCGUUUGCAUAGAACAUCCAUUUCUCUAGUGGACAUUUCCUGUACUCAAUAUUCCACCAACUUCUGUAGAUUUGGAACCAAAAAAACCAAGCUAUCUUGCUUCUACUAAACCAAGAACGGAGAAACACCUAAUCAACAUGUUGACUACUUUCCUUGGACUGCUAAUAUCUUGUUAUCUUGUUAGCGUAUCAAGAUUUUAGAUAAUAUGAACAGAAAUAUCACUAACAACAUAAUUUCGGGAGGAACAUAUAUUGUGUUACUAUUGAUGUGCGUACCCGAUGGUGGUGAAAAAACUUGUAGUGAAAGUGUAAAAACACAAUAGCAAGCAAGUAUUCCCUACCCCUACUAAUUAGAAGAGGAAUAACAAAUCAUUAAAUAUAAAUUUUAAUGAUUAAAUAAACAAGAAACUCUAUGGGUCAUGCCUAUGUAAAGUGAAUAGUUUUUUUGGAAAGGAUCCCACAACCCCUGUCAUUAUACCUUGACUCUAAAGCUUAAGCCUUGUUUUCAGCAUGUCAACUCGACAUACCAUGCCUUUUCCAAAUGCGUCUACAGUCGAUAUGAUGCAUCGAUUGUUAUUUUGCCAUGUCUUGAACUAAACAGAUAUGUUUGCUUACAUAAGCAUGUUACUGCAUAACCACAAAACCCAAUGCAAGGCAAUAAGCAACAAUAACAUGAGUAAAAGAACUACGUUCUAGAAAACUUGACAUACUGGGAAAGUCACUUCUCAGCCUGAGCUGAAAUGAGCUCGGGUGAACAGUCAAAUUGAAUUUAUUUAAAAAAAAUCUAAUUUUCUUAUGACGAACAUUGAAAAAUGUUCUAAGAGCUUGCAAAAUUUCAUCAUGGAAUCACAUUUGAGGUUGUCGCGACAGUAAAAAUUCAGUAUUCUAAAAUGCUUUCAAACGUAGCAUUUUUAGAGUAUCGGUUUUAUUUUUUGCCACGCCUUCCAGGAAUGUGAUUCCAUGAUGAAAUUUUGCAAGCCCGUAGAACAAUUGUCAAAAAUAAUUCAGAAUUUUUUAAUGUGUUUUGAUUUUUUUUAUUUUACCGUUCACCUGGGCUCAUUUGAGCUUGGCUGAGAAACUCCGCGUCCGACAUACUGUUCAUCUUAUAGCACACCCCACCACAUAGCAUUUUCCAUUUGAAGCAUUUUGCAUUUCUUGUAAAUUUUGAAGGCUGAGUUGCACUUAGCUGCACACAUGAAGGCGACAAUGGUGCCAGGGAUGCUAUGACCACAAAUUCCAGGAAUACCAGCAGUAAUGUGGUGAUGAAUUCAAACUCCCAUUGAUCCAUCAUUCCAUAUCAAAAGUCUUAACUUAUGUAGUACAUAACCAUUAUGGCAUACCUUCCACUAGGAAAAAGUAUGAAUGUACAAAAAAGUAGAUAAAAUAUUUAGAAUUUUCACAACCGCAUCUCUUAGUUUUGAUCCACACAUUGUUGGCUACGCAUGUUUUGUGAAAAAAGUAUGGAUAUUGGGAUGGAAUUCUAUAUGCAUGCUGACAUGUGUCUCUUUAUACAUAAAGUCAAUGGCGGAAUUCAGAAUCUGAAGGAAAGACAAUGCUAGAUUUUAGGCAGUCAUGACAAGAUGCAAAUUAAGCUCAAAGCAAGUCGUAUUCAAACACAAAUUAGUUCCUUUCAAGCCUUUUCUCAAAGCAAGAAGGCAUGUUUGAGGAACUCCAUUUUUAUUUUAUUUGGGGAAAGAAACUGUUUCCUUGAUAAUCAUCAGAAAUCACACAUAUAACAAUUCCAUCAACCAUUGCAGAUCUACUCAAUCUCAGAACCGUGCUGAUUCUUGCAAGACAAACUAGUUUUUGAAAUGCAUGAAUAUAUUUGCAAUUUCAUAAUAAUUUUUUGACUGAACAAACCUUUUUGAAGCAUUGAUUUUCGAAAUUUGAGAACAAUUUCUGAAGUGGUGAACUUUUUUCAAAUUUUGGUGAACAUAUUAAAUAAAUUCAUGCCAACAUUUUCAAAUUCGCCAACAUUUGUUUCAAAUUCAUGAACAUUUUUUGCAUAUGUUAACUUUUUUUCGAAAUUGUGAACAUUGUUUGAUUUCCCGUUUUUUUAAAUCAAAAUCAUGACUAUUUUCUUGAAUUCCGAACAUUUUAUGAGGUUCUGAAUAUUCUUUUAGUUUUUGAAAUUUUUUCAAAAACAUCAUCUUUUUUUAUUUCCCUAAUGUGUUUUACAAUUAGGAACUUUUUGAAUUCCUUAAUAAAUUUGAACAUAAAAAUACGAAAAACAAAAACCGGAAUGAAGGGAGGAGCUGCGGGUGCGCGCGCUGUGUGUCCAGCCUGUUAUGCGGAAAAGAAAACCCUAUUUGCCGCUCUUUGCAAUAAGUUGUUGCGGUUUCGCAUAAACGAGCGAGCGACCUUUCGGGGUGGGCCGACCCGUUUAGAGUUGCAGCGAUACCGGUUUUGGGAACAUUUUAUGAUGUUUCUAGCCUAUUUAUUCUCGUUUAGGGAACGUUUUAUCUUUUUCAUUUAAUAUUUUUCUCUUCUUUUUCGUUUUUUUCAUUUUUUCCUUUUCUUGCCUUUUUUCUUUUCUUCCACCUUUUCAUUUUUCUUUUUCAAAAUUAUUUUCAGUUUUUCAACAAAUGUUCCGGAAUUUAGGAAAUGUUUGAAUUUUCCUAAUUUUGUUCACAUUUUAGAAAAAUGGUUCUGUUUUCAAAUUUUGUUCAGAAAUUUAAAAAAAGUUCGGUAUUUCAAAAAUUAUUUGCCUGUUUUCAGAAAAUGAUUGCAUUUUAAAAUUUUGUUCACAAACUAAAAACUCAAGGAUUUCAAAAGCUUGUUCCCAUUAUUCAAAAUUUGUACGCACAUUCAUAAAAUGUUCAUGCUUUUUAAUUUGUUCACAAACUCAGAAUAUGUUUGCAUUUUAAAAAUAUUUGGAAAUAAAAAUGUUCCCGUUUUUCAAAAUUUUCACAAAUUAAACAAAAUGUUAUGUUUUCGAAAUUGGUUCACGAAUUAAAAAAUUGUUCAUGUUUGCAAUUUUUUUACCAAAUCAGAAAAUCUCCGGGGGGAAUUUUGAUGCUUUUUAUUUUUGUAAAAAUUGUUCAUAAUUUCGAAGAAAACGUUCAUGUUUUCUCUUUUGUUUAUUGAUUUUCAAAAAAUGUUUACAAAAGUUUAUGUUGGAAAUUUCGCGAACUGGUUUUGAAGUUUUGUCGCCGCUGUUAGGUUCUUUAAGAUUCGUGUUGUAGUUCUUUCAGAUGGGGACUUGGUCUCGGUGGCUAGCGCAGCGUUUGCAUCUUCACGAGAUGGUGGGUUCGAUCCCUAACUUGAACUGUUUUGCGAAAUUUUACCGCGCCAAGCGAAUGCACCUCUAAUGGGCCGACCCAGGGUAAGCUGCGCCCUGUGCGAAGCCGCGAUGCCCGAUGGAGCCCAAAGUGUGCUCUAUGGGCCGGCCCCUUUAGCGAAUAUUUUUUUCGCCCGCUGUUCUCACCUGGUUUUUAUGGUUAUCUGUAGUGUUGACCACGUUUAUAGUUGACUUUUAGCGGACUAUUAUGUAUAUGAAAAAAAGUUUGUGGAUAUGAAAAGGUUUAUUUUCUAAAAUAAAACCUCAAAUUUGAAAAAAACAUUCAUAAUUUUGAUAAAGUUCAUGAAUUAAAAAAACACAAUUUCGAAAAGAAUCAUGAUUUUGGACAAAUUUAAUAAUUAGUGGGAAGUGAUUCUGUUCGGCCGGCUGAAAACGCGUCGCGCGUCCACCACCUUCUCUAAGCUACACAUGUCUAUGUUGGCCCAUGAACUUUAUCUCCUCCCCUUCCCAAUCUUAUCGCACCUUCUUUCUUCUUCAAAGGUACUACACACCUGCAACGACCAUGGCUAGAUGGAGCGCGCGUGUGUGCUACGGGGUGCGGCCGUGGCUGGGCUGCACACGCGCGGCGCAGAGGGCCCGCCCUGAGCUUGUGCUUCUCCAUGUACAUGGCCAUGGUGUCCAGGCUCGAAUAUAGAGAUGCCUUUUUGUUUUGCAACAACGCCUUUUGAUGUGGCUUUUUGCAACAUCUGCAAUGUUACAAAUGUCGGCGACGAAUGACGGUUGUGGUUUUGCGACAUGCAUCGACAAUGGUAGCAGUGCUUCUGCACAUCAUUUCGUUGCAAAAAUUUCUACAACAUUCCCUAUGCAGCUAAAGUUCUUCCGCAACAUCAGUGGUGUUGUGAAAAAAAGUGAGAAAAAAAUCUGCAACAUGUCCUCUGUUGCAAAAGUUUUGUGCAACAUGAGCUAAUGGGCCGGCCCAGGGUAAGCUGCGCCCUGUGCGAAGCCGCGAUGCCCGAUGGAGCUCAAAGUGUGCUGUAUGGGCCGGCCCCUUUAGCGAAUAUUUUUUUCGCCCGCUGUUCUCACCUGGUUUUUAUGGUUAUCUGUAGUGUUGACCACGUUUAUAGUUGACUUUUAGCAGACUAUUAUGGAUAUAUAAAAAAGUUGUGGAUAUGAAAAGGUUUAUUUUCUAAAAUAAAACCUCAAAUUUGAAAAAAAAACAUUCAUAAUUUUGAUAAAGUUCAUGAAUUAAAAAAACACAAUUUCGAAAAGAAUCAUGAUUUUGGACAAAUUUAAUAAUUAGUGGGAAGUGAUUCUGUUCGGCCGGCUGAAAACGCGUCGCGCGUCCACCACCUUCUCUAAGCUACACGUGUCUAUGUUGGCCCAUGAACUUUAUCUCCUCCCCUUCCCAAUCUUAUCGCACCUUCUUUCUUCUUCAAAGGUACUACACACCUGCAACGGCCAUGGCUAGAUGGAGCGCGUGUGUGUGCUACGGGGUGCGGCCGCGGCUGGGCUGCACACGCGCGGCGCAGAGGGCCCGCCCUGAGCUUGUGCUUCUCCAUGUACAUGGCCAUGGUGUCCGGGCUCGAAUAUAGAGAUGCCUUUUUGUUUUGCAACAAUGCCUUUUGAUGUGGCUUUUUGCAACAUCUGCAAUGUUACAAAUGUCGGCGACGAAUGACGGUUGUGGUUUUGCGACAUGCAUCGACAAUGGUAGCAGUGCUUCUGCACAUCAUUUUCGUUGCAAAAAUUUCUACAACAUUCCCUAUGUAGCUAAAGUUCUUCCGCAACAUCAGUGGUGUUGUGAAAAAAAGUGAGGAAAAAAAUCCGCAACAUGUCCUGUGUUGCAAAAGUUUUGUGCAACAUGAGCUAUGUUAUAAAAGGUUUCUGCAACAAGACUUUUAUUGCAAAAGUAGAGGAUGACAGUCAGCCGCUAGAUUGUUCUAUAUCUGAUGGUGCACGAGGCGGCGAAUCUUUAUAAAAAAAAUCCGCCGGCCAAUGCAUAGCACUCCCCAUAAUUAGUAAGAAUUUCACAAAUUUUGAAAAAGUUCAUGGCGCGAACUGUUUUUGCAAAAUUUUACCUCACGAAUCGAAGACACCGCAAAUGGGACGGUCUAGGGUAAGUUGUCCCCUGUGUGUCACAUCCCUAGUUCUGGUAUGACCUAGACUAGCUACUCAUGUGUGCAUCAUGUUUAAAUUUCAAUGAAUUUGAAAUGGGGACAUGUGAAAGCCUCAGAAAUCAUUUCUGAAAAUGACCAAGAUAAAAAUUGCUUCAAAUAGGUCUAAGAAAAUGUUCAUGUUUCUCUAUGAAAAUAUUGGACAGAGGUAAAAUUCAAACCAAUAUUUUCAGAAGCUCAUCAAUAUUUAUUUUGGACAUUUGAGUUAAUUCAAUAAUUGUUUGCAUUGGAGUUAUAUUUGUUAUAUAUUAAAUAUAACUCCAAUAACUCUGAAAGUUGGUAAGUGGCUUUGAAUACUUUUUAAAUGGCCACAUAGUAAUUUUCAGAAGUUUAUGAAAUGAUCUGGUAUUUAAAUAAAAUCAAAACCAAUUGCAGAAAAUAGAAAACAUAAAUAAAUAGAAAACCAGAGAGAGAGAAAACCUACCUGGCGCCUACCUGUGCGGCCUGCUGCUCAAGCCGGCCCAGCCCAUCUCCACCUCCCCUGUCGUCUUCCUCCUUUUGCCAGGAGGACGAAGGGCGCGUGCCCAGCCCGCGACACCACACGCCGGCGGGGUUGACCCUCUUUAACCGAGGUUUGACCUAUUGGGGAUCGUUGCAGAAAUUAAAACAUUUCUACGCAUCACCAAGAUCAAUCUAUGGAGAAACUAGCAACGAGAGAGAGGGGAGUGCAUCUUCAUACCCUUGAAGAUCGUGAUGCGGAAGCGUUACAAGAACGCGGAUGAAGGAGUCGUACUCGCAGCGAUUCAGAUCGCGGUUGAUUCCGAUCUAAGCGCCGAACAACGGCGCCUCCGCGUUCAACACACGUACAGUCCGGGGACGUCUCUUCCUUCUUGAUCCAGCAAGGGAAGAGGAGAAGUUGAGGGAGAGCUCCGGCAGCACGACGGCGUGGUGGUGGAGCUUGCAGUUCUCCGGCAGGGCUUCGCCAAGCACUACGGAGGAGGAGGAGGUGUUGGGGAGGGAGAGGGCUGGGCCAGCGGAAGGGGUGCGGCUCCCAUGCGCCUCCCCACUAUAUAUUGGGGUGGAGGGGGCUAGUUACUUGCCCUCCAAGUCCAUUGGGGCGUUGGCAAAGGUGGGGGAAAGAAAUCUCAUCAUUUCCCUUCCCCACCGAUUGUUAUCCCCCUUUUUUAGGGAUCUUGAUCUUAUCCCUUCGGGAUAUGAUCUUAUUCCUUCUAAGGGGGGAUCUUGGUGCGCCUUGACCAGGGGUGUGGGGCCUUGCCCCCACUACCCACGUUCAUGUGGGUCCCCCGUGCAGGUGGGCCCCACUCCGGAACCUUCUAGAACCUUCCCGGUACAAUACCGAAAAAUCCCGAACAAUUUCCGGUGGCCAAAAUAGGACUCUCAUAUAUAAAUCUUUACCUCCGGACCAUUCCGGAACUCCUCGUGACGUCCGAGAUCUCAUCCGGGACUCCGAACAACAUUCGGUAACUGCACACUAAUUCCCAUAACAACUCUAGCGUCACCGAACCUUAAGUGUGUAGACCCUACGGGUUCGGGAAUCAUGCAGACAUGACCGAGACAGCUCUCUGGCCAAUAACCAACAGCGGGAUCUGGAUACCCAUGUUGGCUCCCACAUGUUCCACGAUGAUCUCAUCGGAUGAACCACGAUGUCAGGGAUUCAAUCAAUCCUGUAUACAAUUCCUUUGUCAAUCGGUACGUUACUUGCCCGAGAUUCGAUCGUCGGUAUCCCAAUACCUCGUUCAAUCUGGUUACCGGUAAUUCACUUUAGUCGUUUUGUAAUGCAUGAUCCCGCGACUAACUACUUAGUCACAUUGAGCUCAUUACGAUGAUGCAUUACUGAGUGGGCCCAGAGAUACCUCUCCGUCAUACGGAGCGACAAAUCCCAGUCUCAAUUCGUGCCAACCCAACAGACACUUUCAGAUAUACCUGUAGUGUACCUUUAUAGCCACCCAGUUACGUUGUGAUGUUUGGUACACCCAAAGCAUUCCUACGGUAUCCAGGAGUUGCACAAUCUCAUGGUCUAAGGAAAUGAUACUUGACAUUAGAAAAGCUUCUAGCAAACGAACUAUACGAUCUUGUGCUAUGCUUAGGAUUGGGUCUUUUCCAUCACAUCAUUCUCCUAAUGAUGUGAUCCCGUUAUCAACGACAUCCAAUGUCCAUGGUCAGGAAACCGUAACCAUCUAUUGAUCAACGAGCUAGUCGACUAGAGGCUCACUAGGGACAUGUUUCGGUCUAUGUAUUCACACAUGUAUUACGAUUUCCGGAUAACACAAUUAUAGCAUGAACAAUAGACAAUUAUCAUGAACAAGGAAAUACAAUAAUAACCAUUUUAUUAUUGCCUCUAGGGCAUAUUUCCAACAUGACCUCCCCUGGCUCACUGACGUGUGGGCCCAAGGCCCUGACUAAUUAGUGUUAGGAUUAAAUUAGGGUUAGCUAACUUGGUUAACUAGAUGUGACACUCACAUGCGGGUCCCAUUAGUCAGUUUGACCUGGCCAGCGUCUGUUGAGUUGCUGAUGUCACACUAAUGUCAGGCUGACACAGUAAAUCAUUUUCUGUAUUAAAAGUAAUUCAGAAAUUCCAGAAAAUAGUUAAAAAAUUUAAAAAUCAUAGAAAAUAAUCUAUAGCUCAGAAUGAAAAGAUUUAUAUAUGAAAAAUUAUCAGAAAAAUCCAAUCUAUCUGUUUAUGGCAUUUUCAUGCAUGUUUGAACAACUUAUUCCUGCUGAUCAGGUCAAAUCAAUUAAAUGGCAUUUAAACAAUUACAUAUGGAGUUUGAUUUUAAACCUAGGGUUCAAACCAACUUCAUUUAAAUCGUUGCUAGUUGCAUUAGCUCAAAGCAGAGCAUGUUGCCAUGUCAUGAUCAUGCAUCAUAUUGUUGCAUUGCAUUGAUUGUGUUUAUUCUUUGUUUGUCGGUGCUUGUCCCCUCUUAGUAGACGAGGUUCCGACGAUGAGUUCGAUGACACCGAUGAAGAGCUAUACUAUCUUCAGAAGUGCCAGGCAAGCAAAACCCCCUUGUUCAUUCCGAUACAAACCCACUCUAUCGCUUCUGCUCUCUUUUACUGCAUUAGGACAACAACGAUUCAACGGUUACAUGUUGCAGUAGUUGAACCCCUUUCCUCUGCAUGACCUGUCAUUGCCACAGUAAAUAGGUGAAACCCACUAGCAUGAGUAGGAGUUGUUUGAGCCCUGAUGUGCCUACUCAUUCAUGCUUGUUGUCAUGCCUGCUACUGCUUAGAUUUGAGUCAGGUCUGAUUCAUCGGGGAUGAAUUGGUAUGUGGUGAACAUGUCCUACUGUUGAGAGCUAAGUGUGUGAACACGAUUUGGUAAAGGUAGCGGUGAGAUGCCAUGUCGGAGUACAUGGUGGGUUGUCUCAUUGAAACCGUCCUCAGGAACUGAGUUCUGUGUUUGUGAUCCAUGAACAGCUACUACCACACGUUGGGCCCUGAAAUAUGACCCCGCUCGACUUAUUAACCCCCAUGUCCUCUGUCCAGGAGUUGCAAGUAGUUUCUGGUGUUUGUACUAUGCUGGAGGUCGUGCGCAGCGCUGACCCGAGGGGUGGGCUGUGAUGCGGUAGGCACAUGGCACGGUGUACCGGGAUGCCCGUUUGGUGCCUCGAGAACCCUGCACACAUUGUUCGGGGCUGUAAGUGGAAACCUCGGCCGGACUCCCUUCGGAUGGAACCUGAAUAGGCGAUAAACCUCGAAUAGGGACUUGUGUGGUUAGUCAGGUCAUGGUCUACACCCACGUCGGCUUUCGCUUGAAGUCCGCCGAGCACAUGUCGUGUGUAGACGCUAAGUGGUGGAAACAUGUGUGAAGAAGUACACCCCUGCAGGGUUAUAAAUGAUCUAUUCGAAUAGCCGCGUCUGCGGUAAAGGACCUCUGGGUUGCCUAUACAGUUCAUAGACAAGUGAAAGUGGAUACUCUAAAAUGCGCAAGAUAAGCGUGAGUACUAUGGAUGGCGUUCUUGUAGGAAGACGGGAGCGGACCCAUAGUGGUGUAUUGAUUGGUGAAUAUGUGGAAUCGUGUGCGCCACCUCAAAAGAGUUACUUGCAGUCCUAGUUUAGGAUAGCUACCGAGUCAAAGCUGGCUUGCUGCAGUUAAACUCCACUACCCCUUUGUUGAUACCGAUGCAUAUGUAGUUAGUUCUGAUGUAAGUCUUGCUGGGUACAUUUGUACUCACGUUUGCUUAAUUUAUAUUUUUGCAGAGAGACUUCAGUCUCGCUAGUAGUUCCGUGUGGACUUCGACGUUUAGCUUGUUAACUCAGCUACGAUCUUGUGCCCUCGACAGGGUCUUGUAGAUAGUCAGGCUUCUCAGCCUUUUCUUUUGUAGUUGUCUGUACUCAGACAAGUUAAGCUUCCGCUUGUGCUUGUUGCUUGUAUGACUUGAAUGCUGGGUCAUCAGACCCAUGUUUGUAAUACUUGGCUCCUCGAAGCCUAAUAAAUAAAUACUUUGAGUCAUAGAGUUAUGUUGUGAUGCCAUGUUGUAUUUGCACACAUCGAGCAUAUUGUGUAUAUGAUUUGAAAUGCUUGGUAUGUGUGGGAUCCGACAACCUAGUUGUUUAUCCUUGGUAACCUCUCUUACUGGGAAAUGUCUCCUAGUGCUUCCACUGAGCCAUGGUAGCUUGCUACUGCUCCGGAACACUUAGGCUAGCCGGCAUGUGUCCUUCUUCGUUCCUGUGCGUGUCCCUUCGGGGAAAUGUCACGCGGUGUCUACCGGAGUCCUGUUAGUCUGCUACAACCGGAUUCUCCGGAGUCAUGUUAGCCUAGCUGCUACAACCCGGAUUCACUCGCUGAUGACCGACACAUUCGUUGCUGGGUCAUGUAUGCCUGUCCCUGUAAGUUAGUGCCACUUUGAGUUUACGACUAGUCAUGUCGGACCGGGUUCUUUGUCAUAUGGAUGCUAGCGACACUAUCAUAUACGUGAGCCAAAAGGCGCAAACGGUCCCGGGCCAGGUAAGGUGGCACCCGUGGGAAUACCGUGUGUGAGGCCGCAAAGUGAUAUGAUGUGUUACAUGCUAGAUCGGUGUGAUUUAGGACCGGGGUCCUGACACUGUGCGAAGCCGCGAUGACCUAUAGAGCCCGAAGGCUGCUGUAUGGGUCGGCCCCUGUAGCGAAUGUUUUUUUCGCCCACUAUUCUCACCUGGGUUUUUAUGGUUGAUCUGUAGAGUUGACGUUUACAGUGGACUUUUAAGAGAAUAUUAUGGAUAUCAAAAAGGUUUGCAGAUUUGAAAAAAUUGUUUUUUAAAUAAAACCUUCAUAAGUUCGAUAAAGUUCAUGAAUUUGAAAAAAUAUCACAAUUUUGGAAAAAAAUACGAAUUUGGAAAAUUUCAACAAUUGUGAAAAAUUCACAAAACUUAAAUAAGUUCAAAAUUUUGAAAAACUUCAGAAAUUUGGGAAGGUUUGCGGAGUAAAAAAAUUCACUAAUUUCAAAACAUAAUAACCAAAUAAAACCGAAGAAAACCCGGUUUUGAAAACAAAAAUAAAAUAAUAGAAAAUAGGCCGGAAGCUCUCAAAAGUUUCCCAGAACUAGGAGAGAGCUUCCCCGCUCGAGCGCUCGUGUUACUUAUAUGGGCUGGCCCAUUUGUAGUCUAUCAGUGGUUCGGGUUGUGUGUUGUGUACGAUUAAGCCUAUAACUGAUGCUAUGGGUGCCAAAUAGGAAUUUCCUCUAACCCGCAACAAGCAAGAUAUAGCUUUUGCGGCCCUGCGAUGUUAGGCAGACCAAUUAUCAUGAAAUUGUAAAAGGACUUGAAAACACAAAAAUGUUCGCCACCCAGAAAGAAAAUGCACGAAGAAACUUAGACUAGUUACAUAGCACGACCCAAAUAACACCAACAAAUCUACCCCGUCCUGAAUCUCUACACCUUAGAUUUGUGCUCAUGGAAUUAACUAAUAUUUAACUAAAGACAACUGUAACGACAGGCGCUUAUUGUGUGGACACUAAUACAAAUAAGAUAUGAAUAUUAUAAAAUUACCUGCCCUCUCUCUCAGGACGGGACACUAAUUAUAGAUGCAACACCGUCGUUCGACCGGUGUAUUCGCUGCAAACCUUGUACGGAAAAGGGCAACCAUCGUUGACAUUAAUGCUACAUAUACGGGCUUUUUGUUUACACAGGAUUACAGAGGAGGUGAUUUGGACGCGUACUAUUAGUUGGUGGAUGGGCCCUUCACCAGAAAUUCAGAGAGGAGAGACUAUUGACAAAUUACACACUGUCUGCGGUAUAACAACCCCGUAAAGCCAUGUACAUUUAGGAUUACUAGCACCAAUGCCCGUGGGUUGCAACGGGAAAAAACAACGAUUCGUAUAAACCACGUUGCCGAGCUGAGAAACUGUAUCGUGGGACAAUGAUCGCCGAUGAGAAAAAGGCGUUGAAUCAUUUGAGGACGACAACAAUCAAACCAACCUAGAAUAACAAUUGCAACACCAACAUCAGCAAGCAAACCAACCUAGAUGGAAACUAAUUCAGGAAAACUUCCAUAAUUUAACAUAUCUACUUGGUCAAAUGCAACUUUAUCAUGCAAACCUAAAAAGUUUAGUAAAUAAUCAGUCAUUGACUUCACAUGGAAUUAAAUUGCAUAUGUAGGUAAACUGUAAUUGCGGCCAAUGAAUUGCGGACUCUAGAUGGAAGUAGCAAAACCCACAUGGAAGCAAGCAAAGAAAUCAUCUAAACAAAGGUGGGAAAAAAAGAGUGUGGAUAAAAAUCACUGGUGGAAGACUUACCUUUGGUUCGAGGGUUAGUGGAUACAGUCAGAUAUUUUAUGUACUUUUUUGUUUUGUAAUCCAGUCACAUGUAAUCGAUCGAUUUUAUUAUAACAGCUAUGUUUUUGGAGUCUCCUGUGAGAGAACCCGUGUUGCCAUAUAUGCAUGCCCCACAAGAAUCUGUAGCCAUUCAUUUAAUUAACUCGUCAUUAUGAUUAGCCAAUCAUAAUUAUCUGCGUCAUGCACGUCUCUCAGAAAUUGCCAUAUACUCUGUUUAAUUAGCCCAACAUUAAUUAGCCAAUCAUAAUUAUAUGCAGUAUGAUGUCUCGUCUCUUGGGAAUCCCACUCAAUUAGCCCACCGUUAAUUACCUUAAUCUGUUUUAUUAGCCCACCAUUAAUUAACCAAUCAUAAUUAUAUGCAUCAUGUAUCUCUCUCGGGAAUCCCAUUCAAUUAGCCACCUUUAAUUACCUCAUUCUCUUCCUUCCUUAUCUCUUUUUCUCACGUUUUUUCUUUCCUUAUUAUCUCUGGGCCACGUUGUUCGAAAUCACAAAUCCUCUCAAUCUUUCCUUAUUGAAACCCAACACGUAGGACACGACCGAUGAGCGAUUACAAAAGAGAACUGUCCGCUUUUCUUUCAGGCAACAGGUGCUAAAUUGGUUGGUUAACGCGUGCGGGCCUAUAUCUCGCCAACCCGGGUUCGAUUCCCAUCUAGCACAAUUUAUCUUUUGGAAGCAACGUACACACAAAUGGGCGGUGUGUCAAAAAAAACCACAACGUACGAAAGUGCAAACGACCGACAAAAGGAGGACGGCGUACAAAAACACUAAUGGACAAAAAAUAGUGGAGAAACAAUUCAUCCUUUAAUACUCCCUCCGUCCCAUAAUAUAGGUAAGAUAAAGAUAAAGAUUUCCUGACUAUGGGAUCGAAACUACAACUACCAAAGAGUGACCUCUGUUUUAAACCCUGAGGUAGAACUACAAUUAGGUAAGAUGAAAUUGGUACCCUCAACUUGCUGAUCCCGAUCAAUUUGGACCUUAGAUCCGUUUGCUGCACCGGGAAAAAGAAGAUCCAGGCCGGGAUCAGUCGCUACUCUCACUGAGGCGGGGCAAGUUGGUGCUUGAGGGAAGGGCCAGGAUGAUGGGCCUCGAGGCGGAGGCGGCGCGGCGACGCGCCUAGGAGGGUCACUUACGCAUUGCGAUUGCGGCCGCCCGCCGCCGUACGGUGCGAGGUGGCGGCUCCCUGCGUCCACGUGCUCCGGUGGCUCAAGGCGUGCGCGCGCGAUGAAAGGAAGAUGCCGGACCCUCCCGUGGACGCCGAGGUGCAAGUGCCCAUGAGACAACGCCAGUGCGUGACCGCGGCCACCGGGAGGAUUCGCUGACUAGCCGUGCUCGGUUCCUACGUGCCUCCCCCACCACCGCGUCGUCCUGACUCGCGCAUGGCACAGGACCGUCAUCUACAACAAUCGGCAUUCUAAGGCGCACCCACACCGAGCCAAAGCCAUGGACCGACGGACGGGGUUGCAGCUCAGGUGGCUAGCAGCUGGGGUGCGGGUUGGCGUGCACGGCACGCGCGUACAACACGCAAAGAGCGGCUUAACUACAGGGGUUAGUGCACGCAGAGAGAGAAAGAAAUUGGAAUAGGGGUGGUGAGCGUGCACUGCGUGGCCAUCGCGUGCUCAGCGCGGCAUGCACUCUGACGGACUACUCCUAGAGAAAUCAAUCAACCUGUAUGUUUGCUUCCGAGCAACUCUAGUUUUGAACAUAUGUCUAUCUACUAUCAUUAAUCGAUCUAGAAUCCUAAGUUCCUAACAGCAACAACGUCUUGGCGAUGGAGGCCGUCCAUGAAGCCGAUCGAAACGUGCGGCAUUCGCCUUGGCCUCCACCGACGGCAUGUGCAAGGUCGGGAGCAUCGUAGAUGGCCACAUCCCCGUCGCUUCUGUUGUCGCACGCAGACGAGCGGUUCGCACGAGCUCGUUUCGGGAGCUGGCUAUGUGAUCGGUAAGAGACAGGGAGGGGAAAGAGAUCGAGGAAGGAGUAUAUGGCAGGUAGGCCCGUGUGGUCAGUGAGACAAACAAGGGAUCCCGGACAGGAUUGUCCUUCCAAACAGGUCUAGGGGCGGUUUAGGGUUAUAAUUGAUCGGGAUCGAUGAGGUCAGGGUACCAACUUCAGGGAUUUAGAGGUGAAGGUUUAUUUCCGUCGUGGUCUACAAUCUCAGGGUUAAAAACAGACUUCACUGGUUGACAAUUACCUGGCGCCAUCCACUAGCGCCCAAUGAUGGAGAUGGCCAAAUACAUACCUAAUUGACAAUUACCAAAUAUGAGAAAAACAUGCACUCCUUUUAAUUUAUCUAUAUUCUUAUAAAUUUUUAUUUAUUACCACCCCUUAAAAAAUAUUGAAAUGACUCAGACAACACAAACAAGCAAACCCAAUGGUUGGGUGCUCUGUUCAGACUGUAGGAUUCUACGGCAGGGCGGGUCGACUACAAAUUAAAAAUUUCUACCCACAGAACAUCCAGGAACACACUACAAGAGAUGGAUCACGGAUCGUUACCACUAGACGUGCAAUGCCGUGCAGCAGAAGUAGAUUUGGGGCAGCGCGUCUCCGGAGUCGUCUCCGCCUCGAUCUCCCAGGUAGCCGAUCGGAUCGCAUGAACAGGUUCGACGGAGCGGCACAAGUAUACCGCCUCUAACGGUAUCCGCACGUGCAGGAGGAACACCGUGCGGCGGACUGCUAGUUCCAUCUGCUAGUUCCAUCAAACAGCCGACAGCGAGUGGAGGUGGCUAGUUGCAACACAUGCAAGGCCCUAGUGGAGACGCCACAGCAAUCAACUGAAACGGUAUGUCGCACCUCCACUAUAUAUAGGCAUCCGUCCCGGGCUCAACACUUGGGCCUUGCAUGGAUUCUAAAGCCCAAAGUUUGUUCGGCAUGGAUCCUAGUCCGAGUGGGAUCACAUCUGACUCGUGGAGUCGGAUCCAGCCUUACAGGUUCCUUCACUUAAGUGCGCGACCCCUUAGGUUCAAGUCAUCUUGGUCGCAGGUUGGAUCACCUCCGACUUGCUCGGUUGGUAGCGGCAUCUAGCAAGGCGUGACGACCACCAAGUAGACAAUGAAGCCGGUUGGCUUACCUGUACAACAUGUCACACUUCUAUUCUCUUUGCCACACGAUAUAUGUUGUCGGGCUCAAGGCGAGUCGGUCAUCUUUGUACUAGCCCGACCUAUUUCUCGUUCUAGUGAUGCCGACAACGAACCGGAUUAUCUCAUAAUCCUUGUCGCAUGGCCAUGCUUAUCCAGGUUGAAUCACACGAGGGCCCCAGAGUAUAUCUCUCCUGAUUGGAGGGGCAAAUCCCAUCUUGCUCGACCAUGUCUCGUAGCAUGGGUCUGGACAAGUCGAAAAUCUACAUUUAUAACUACCCAGUUAUGGAGUAGCGUUUGGUUGGCCAAAGCAGGUCUGUCACCAUCCCGAGUACAUGCGCCAGCUCAGGUGUUAGGACAUAGAAUGUAUGUUGUACUAGGGACUCACAUAUGACCUAUCGCCGCAUAUCAUAGUCGGGUCUGUACAACUUGGACCUUAUCUGGAUCGUAUGUCGAAUCCGACCAGAUCUUUGUGAGUCCAUACUAUCCGGAUAGCAUCCAAUUCUCCAUGGCCAAUGAGACCAAGCCAUCCACCGUGUCAUAUGCUAGUCUAGUCGGCUGUGCGUGCAGACAACCCUUUCGACUAGGGACUUUUUAAGGCAGUCAUCAUAUAAUGCCUAGUCCCACAAACAAGUCAUGUGCUUGCUGAUACACAUCAUUGAUAAUGUCCAAGAACUAUCUUUAUUCACAAACACAUAGGAAGAAGCAUCAUACAUGAUUUCCACUAGGGCAUAUCUCCAAUAGUCUCUCACUUACACUAGAGUCAAUCAAAUAGACAUUUAAUUCCCAUAGCUCUGACGUGCCCCUCAUGCUUGGGUUGUGGAAGCGACUUAGUGAACGGUUCCGCAACAUUUCCAUCCAUGUGAAUUUUGCAUAACUCUAUAUCACCACUCUUUUACGAUCUUCUGCAUGAGGUGAUAUUUUCAAUCUAUGUGUUUGGUCUUGUGGUGGUUCCUCGGCUCCUUGACUUGUGCGAUGGAACCAAAACUAUUACAAUAAAGGUCCAGUGGUUUUACCAUUGCUGGAAAAAUACCAAGAACAUUCAGAAAGUUCAAGAUCCAAGCACCUUCCUUUGCAGCUUCACAAACCACUAACGACCACAACACCCGCGGGGAGAGGGGUCACAUAUUCGCGGGCACAACCCGGACUGAGCCCACCAUCACCUACCCGGAGUGAAAACUCUAACCCGCCUCGGGCCCUAAUCAGAUCUGCCCGAGCACGGACCCCAAGUCCAGGUCAUCUCCGUCGCGCAAGCAGCGGGCGCCACCGACGUGGACCCAAGAGAAGGGAGGAACCACUACCAUGCACACCACGCUGUCAACCGCCACCGCCCGAGCCACCAUGACCACAUCGACGACCGCUGCAACCACGCCCCUGGCCUGCCGCAGCCAGCUGAGGCCGCUAGACCGAGCCACCACGAGCAAGGACUACUACUUCGGAGCCCCCACCAUGCAAUCAUCGUCGCAGCAGAGGCCGACCUGUGCUGCCCAUGACCCUCGUUAGAGAGGCAGCUACCUGUCAGAUUUCGCCGAGGCCCCACUACCGCCACAACCACCUCCGGGCGCUCCACUACCCACCACGCGGCCUAUGCCACAACCGUCGCACAGGCGCCCGCCACUACACCUACACGCCGGCCCCUGCACGCGAGGGGACGAGGAAGCCCCGCUGCCGCCGGCUCCAGUCGAGCUUUGCCCACCUGAGUCCUGUGGCCGCGGCUAGGGAGGAGGGGCGGGGAACCUGGUGGCGGCAGACUAGGGUUACCUCCCGGCUGCCGCGGGAGGCGUUGGAGGAAAGAGAAUCUCCGAUCAUAUUACCAUUCACCGCCAAAUUUGUUUAUCAUUAUCACCCAUCUUAAAAAAUACUGAAAAUGUCUGUAUUACCACUUUUGAUACAGGCAGAGAAGAUGCGCGGGCUGGCGCAGUCAAUUUCCGGCAGCCAGUCGAGUCUCAUCAGUUGCAAGAAGGUAAAUGUUCGAACUAUAUAUGCCGGUAGCGGAAAGAAGCUUUAUAUAACACCUCACCUAUGCUUAGUGCGACGCACGAUCAUAGUACUGCCACCCCACUAAAGACUGAAAGUACGUGUAUGCCACAACCAUGCAACAGUCGAGCAACCAAACAGCCAGAGCCUCUCUUUUAUGAAAUGGCUUCCAUCGAUGUCUCAUUCUACAUCUUUUGUGGCAGCCCGUGUGAGGUAACGCAACAAACCAACAGAUCAGCCCGUGUAAACUCCGCGUCUUCCCCACGAUGACAACCUCGUCUCGAUCGUCUCAUCGUCCCUCCUGCAUGACGCGCCGCCUUCUGACGCCAUGCAAGCGAGCCCUCGCGCGGCUCUUCCGCAUCCCGGCCUCCGCCGCCCUCUCUAUCAGGGCCUUCCGGUUCCGCAAUCUCCGCAAGUCCACCGCCAAGAUGAGCCCCCGCCACCGGCGCCGUGCCGGCCGAAGCUUCCGCUCGGUCCGCGCGGUGUUCUGGCCGUUAAUCCCUCCGUCUUCCACGCCGGCAACCUCGACAGAGAGCCAUACCGCGCGCAGGGUAGUUGCUGCGGCGGUGCCAGAGGUGCCGGUGCCGUCGCCAGAGACGCCUGCGUAUGUGAAGAUGGUGGCGCGGCUGCGGUCGAGGACGACCACGCGAAUUGGAGAGGACAAAGAGGAGGCAUGCCAGAGUUUUGAGAGCUGCCUGAUGGGGAUUUUGACGGAGGAAGGCAAAGCGCGGGACCUGCAGGACGUGGAGGAACUCCUACAGUGCUGGGAGCGGCUCAAGUCGCCGGUGUUCGUCGAUCUGGUCUGCCGGUUCUACGGCGAUCUGUGCAAGGACUUAUUCUCCUCCGCCGCCGGGGGUGAGAACGGCGGAAACACUAACCAGGACGUGGGACCAGUUUCCAUGUCGGCUGCUUUACUAGUGUAACUCGUUACCACAUCGUGUUGUAAGUUCGUAACACAAAACACUUAAUUUUACAGUUUACGCUAUGAUGGCCUUCCCUGAAAAAAAAUAUCGUAAUGGAUGUCUGGAUGGCGACGUGCAAUGGCCUGAGCUGAGCUCGAGAGCUAUGUCUCAUUUGAGACGGUAGCUUCGGGAGCAACUCGUUGACGAGCGUUUCUUCGGGAGUCUCCCAACGAUAAUUUUGGAUGGGCUGAGAGCACAUCACUUCACGCGUUGUCAUCCGCCGUCACGUGUCACGCUUUGGAUGUUUUCUCUAAUUUAUUUAUUUAUUUAUUUCACGUGUUUUCGGCUUUUUAGACUGUUUAUUUUCUGGGUUUUCUCGGCUUUUUCGUUUUUCAUCGGUCUUACUUAGCUUUUAGACAAAAAAUGAUUUUUUAUUUUACUUUUCAUGGAAAAACUUUUUUCUUCUUUCACGAGAGGCAUGAUUUUGAUUCGGCAUGAAGCACGAAUUUGCUUUCGCAAGAGGCAUGACCGUGCCUCUUCCGAACAAAAAAUAUAUUUUCUUCUUCUUUUCCCUUCCCGAGAUUAGAUAAUGCAUGACGAGGACUUGACUCUUGACUUACACAAGAACUUUAAGAAAGAAGAAAAGCUUGAAUUAUCCGAAAUGACAAGCUCCCACGGUUUUGCUUCUGUGAGAGGCACGGUUUUGCUUCCAUGAUAGACACAUCUGUGUCUCUUGGAAACGAAAAAACACGUUUUCUCUUCUUUUUUUUCCUUCCGUGAGAGGCACGGUUUUAUUUUUGCGAGAGGGGCGGCUUUGCUUUCGUGAGAGGCACGGUCAUGCCUCUCGGAAACAAAAAAAAACACGUUAUUUAUUUAUUUUUUCCUUUCACGAGAGGCAUGGUUUUUCGUGAUUUUUUUUUCGUUAAAACCUACCAACAUGGGAUUUAGUUUUGAAGAUCUCGAUGCGAGGAAUCAAACGGUGAAAACAGUUUAAGAUUUGGACGCACAGUUUAAAAGAUAAAAUAUUUUGAAUAAACGAAUUUAGAACUAAAAAGAAAAAACAUUCAAGUUGUGACAAAUGAUACACAUUCAACGUAUCACUUGUCACAAACUAAAGAAAUAAUAGUGAUCUUUGAAAAAGACUACUCCUCAUUGAUUUCCGCUAGGUUCUCUUGUCUGACCCAGCCGGCCCAUCUUUCUUUCGAUUACUGGCACCCGAAGCUCACUCAUGAGCGAUUGCUUCGCUGUUUUCAAUUUUUUUUCUUUUCUUCUCUGCUUUUUUAUAUUUUUCCCACCAGAUUUCUUUGUUACGGUUCUUUUUAAUUUUUCUGCUUUCUUUGUUUUUUCGUCGCUUUUUUUCAUUUUUUCUCAAUUUCCAUCGGUUUUUCAUUUUUUUAUUUCUUUCUUUCGCUGCUUUUAAUGGUUCUUUUGCUUUUCUUUGUUUCUUUCUUGAUUUUCAUCGGUUUUCUUUAUGUUAUUUGUUUCUUUUUCGGUUUUCUUUGUUUCAUUCUUUUACAUUCAUUUCUUCAGUUUCUCUUUUUUUGGUUUUUAUUUUUUUUAGUUUUUCUUUGUUUCUUUGUUGAUUUUCACCUGUUUCUGUUUUGUUCAGUAUGUCUUAACAUUUUUCGUACACAUUCAACAUUUUUUUAUACAUCAAAAAUAUUUUUUCAUAUACAUGUUUAACAUUUUAAAAUACAUGGUUAAGAUUUUUUAUGUCUAUCUUUUCUCCAAACACAUACAUUUUUGGUACUCCCUCCGAUCCGUAUUAUUUGCCUUAUAUUUUUCUAGAUAUGAAUGUAUGUAACACUAAAACAUGUCUAAAUACAUCCGUCUCUACACAAAUAUAAGACAAGUAAUAUAUAUUGGAGGGAGUAUAUAUCAAAUACAAUUUUUCUGAUACACAUGUAACAUCUUUCAAAUACAAGUUUAACAUUUUUUUAAUACAUGAUCAAUAUUUUUUGUACACAUAUAACACUUUCUUCAAAUACUUGAUUAACAUUUUUUAAUAUAUUGACAACUUUUUUUCUACACAUAGUAAUCAUUUUUCAAAUGCUUGAUUAACAUUUUUCGAAUACAAGGUUAACAAUAUUUUUAAUAUAUGGUCAACUUUUUUUCCUCGAUACAUUUAACAUUUUUAAAUGCUUGCUUAAUUUUUCUGAAUACUUAUUGAACAGUUUCUCAAAUUCUUGAUUAAAUUUUCUGAAAUACAGGAUUAAUUUUUUCACACACAUUGUAUAAUUUUUUAUAUAUAUGAGAAACAUUUGCUAUAUACAUAUUUAACAUUUUUCAAAUGCUUUUUUUAAUGUUAUAUGUAAAUUGUUUUUUAAUAUGUUUAUUCCAAAUAUUUUUGAAGUAUAGACAAAAGUAGAAAAAGAAAGCAAAAAACAAACACAAAAAAUGUGAAAAAGUGAGGUUAUGGCUCCCGCGCGCCUAGGCCGGCCCAUCUUGCGCUGACCUUCAUGUGAUAGUUCGCUAUGUCGCGCCCUAGGCUGAGUGAGAUGAGUGGUGGGAGGAUGGACCUGUUGAGGUAAAUUCGGUAGAAUUAGUGAAAUAUGUUUUUAGAGGUCAUCAUCUAACUAACUUUGAUAGCCUAAACAAUCUUAACUAAAUUUGGUUAGUGACCACUAGCAAUUGAGAUCAUUCCCAAAAAUAAAACAUUCUAAAAAAGUUAGCAACCAAAUUAUCAAGGACUUAAUGGUGAUGUACAUAACCUUUUGGCCAAUUAUAAGGCCAAUUUGGCAUGCAAAAAGCAAGUUCAUUCACGAGGACAUCCAUCAUAGCCCCUAUCGACUUUUGCUUUUGUACAAAAUUUCCUACAAGAACUAGAGAUCAUGAAGUAUCCCAAAAUUAGCUCUAAGCCUAGGUUGUCCUCCACACCAAGCAUGUGCACUAGCCACCAGGCAUUAGGCCGACCCGAUCUCCUCUUACCACCGCCUUCCUGACAACCCCUUAUCACCUCCUUCCUCCAUGCCACCACCAUCGUUGACGCCUAUCUCGACUUGGACACGAACUCUCCUCGAGCAUGCUCCAAUGGGGUGCCCUACACAGACUCCUUGGCUAAUUCCACACACCAAAGGCACAUAAAAAGGUUUUGAAUCCCUUGACCAAAAGCCAAGCUCAACUGUGAGUUCCUGUGCAAAACGUUUCCCAUCUGAAGCAUCAUAUCUCACCAUUCCACCGUUUUUGCCAGGACUCCCUUCCACCCAAGGUAUGUCGUUCAGUGCCUUCAAGUGUUGAUACACAUAAUCCAGUCAUCCAUCAUGUCGGCUUAGUUUUUCUUUAAUUACAACAUCGCUCUUUAUGCAUUCAUUUGUGUGUGUGUGGGGGGGGCAUGCACUUGAUGCAGGUGAGAUGCUGGUGAUUCCCACCAUUACUACAAGUAAGUACGUGUAAGGGUAGGGAAGGGUCUUCAUUGGCGAGGAGGAGAGGCAACGUGAGUGAAUUUUAGACUAGGGGGCAGGAGUGUGGAUGAUGCAUACACCAUGUGUAAAUGAGAUUAGGGUGGCUGCCACCAUCAUGAUGAGCCCAUGAAAAUACAAGGUGGUGCAGGGAGAAGGUCAUGAAGGUAGCUUGCUGUGUAAUGAUCGAGAUAAUUGCAAUGGUAUUAAUCACGUUCGUUGUGAAGAGGUGAACAACGUCGCCGCCAUCGGCACUGUGACGAAGAGAAGAAAGGGAAACACAAAUGGCUCGCUAGGGACAUGUUUAUCCCGAUGAAAAGCACGUGCACAUCUCUUAGUGCAAUAUAUAUUGCCACGGAAGCGAGCUAAACUAAGCCAGCCCACUGUUGCGUUUGGUUUUCGGAGUACUUUGUUUACUAUCGAUUCAGUUAUUUUCGGAUCCGGGUUUGGUCGUUUUCCACGGGAAUUGGUUUUCCACAAUAGCAUAAGUAUCCGGCUUUCUACAUUUUUCUUUGCGUUUUCUUGAUUUUUGUUCUUUUUUCUUCUUCUUAUUUUUUUGUUUUCAUCUGUUUUUACUUUUUGAUACAUGUCGAAAAUUAUCUAAAUACACAUUAAGCAUUACGAAAUACAUGCAAACAUUUUUUGAAUGCAUGCUUGACUUUUUGGUACAUGUUGAAUAUUUUUAAACAAACUAUAAAUAUUUCUCAAAUAAUGUUGAACAUUCUGAAAUGAAGGAUGAAUAAUUUUAAAUACAUCAUUUAAAAUGAGUAAGCACUUUCUUCCAAUUUCAGUGACAAAUGUGACAUUUUCUAAUUUUAAUUUGUUAGAAAAUAAAAAUAAAAUGAGAAAAUCAGAGAAGACCGGACCAAAAAAUCAUGUAAAACUGGUAGAAAACUGCAUGUAGAAACCAACUAGAAAAAUCGCUAGAAAUCCAUGACUAGGCCGGCACAGGUGGAUCACCCGUUGGCGAGUGCUAUAUAUCGCUUGUAGCUUGAUGUUGUGACUCAGAUAGAAGACACGUUAAGGCCAACGCCAUUUAUGGAGCUGAGCAUGUUCUCUAACCUCGUGAUCCUUGUGGGUGUGUGGCGAGGUGAAUCCCUCCUAUUUGACGCUCAUUGGUUCAAAGUGUCAGGGUUUCACACAGGGCCUGGAGUCAUGGGCCAAAUCCAAUACGGUGGUUGGGCAAGCAAUGUUUCUCGUAUCUUUUUUCAAUAGCCUUUUGUUUGUUUUUGAUAUUUUCGAGUGUGCUCUUUUGCUUUUCUUCUGUAGGUUUGUUCAUUUAUCUGCCAUCAUUUUUCCUUUGCCGGGUUCCAAUUUUUUGCUUUUAUUUAUUUAAUUUUAAUAUUUUUUCAUUUCUCCUUCUCAUUUUGUACAUAUAUUCUAUAUAUCUGAAAUUGUUCAUGUUUUGAAAAUUCACAAAAUUGAAAAAAAUGUUCAUUUCCUAAGGUUAGCUACAAAUUUUGAAAAUUCCAACUUUAGAAAAUAUUCAUGAACCUAGAAAGUAUGGAAAAAGGAAAAUUAAAAAUUAAAGGAAUCGGGAGCAAUCCCGAAAAGGAAAGUUUUUCUUUGAAAAACGUUAGAAACCAGCGUUCCAUUGUGUUUUUCCCCAACAUUCUAAUGCACAGUGUCAAAUAGGAGGGGAUUUCUCGGUGAGAUCGUCCUACCAUGCGGAAUGGGAACACCAACCUGGACGAAAAUUGAGAAGGACAAACUCUAUUGAAGCCUCAAGUACUAGCCCAAUUUGGAGUGUUGUUUGGAAAUUGCAUGUUCUGGCUAAGAUCAAGAUCCAUGUCUGGAGAAGUUUAUUGGGUGCAAUACCUUGCUACAGUGUUCUGACCAAUAGGCACAUGGCCACAAUUCUCAAUGCCCCCUCUGUAUGGCGGACUGCGAGAGCAUCACACACACGUGGUGGCUACAUUCAACGAUGACUAAGGUACUGGAGCUUUGGGUGCUAUUCUUCGCGACUAUAAUGGAUAUUUUUUGGCGAUGUCUUGCAGCCAUAUUCCCUUUGUUGAUGACGCUGCAUUGGCGGAAGCCCGAGGUCUUCGAGAUGGCCUUAUCUUGGCAAGUGAUAUUGGAUGCAAUAACAUAGUGGUCCAAGCUGAUUGCAUGGAGGUAAUUCAGGUGAUGCAAGAUGGUGGCACUCGUUAGGACCAGCAGCAACAAUCUUCGAGGACUACACUUUAUUAUGUCGUAAUUUUAAUUAUGUUAGUUGUUAUCAUUGCCCUAGGGAGGCCAAUAUGGCGGCAAACUUGUUAACUAGUAGAUCGGAGGUUUUCGCAAACCUUGAAUUGGCAAGACGAACCACCUGAUUUUCUAGUGGAUGUACUCCUAACCGAUGUAUCAUUGUUACCGCAUGAAAUAUAAACCGACAUGAUGUGAGUUGGGCGGGAGUACAUGCGUGUGGACGCUAUAGUUGGAAACGGCAUGGAGAUUGUCCAGGAGGGACGAAAUGUUGUCCAUGAAUUGAGCAUCUUGUCAGUGAUGCGUCGGUGAUCCCAUGCCUUGCUGACCCGUAGAUGUGGGACCCAAACAAAUAAAUAUCGCAAUAAAAAGCUCAUUUGCCUUGUUCCAAAUAAAUAACUAUGCAACGAAUAGCAAGUUAGUGUGACGACGACAUAUUACUUCUUCUUUUUUAUGAGAAAUAUAUUACUUCUGUCAUGCGUCAGUGAUAUGAUACUUAAACAGAAGAAUAGUAGAAUGGUACACACUACUAUUCAUCAACCCACGAAGGGGUAAAUAUACAGAGUACAUGGUGGUGACAGCCACAACUAUGUACGGGCAUGCACAACGUGCACCAAGUCGUGGGGCGUGGCAUGCGGUAGCAGAUCAGGUACAAGACGUGGGACUCGGUCCCUGUUACACUAGCAACGGGCAUCUUCCAAUAGCCCCCGCAGUCGCAACGGGAUCAUUGAGGACGUUGAGGCUAGACCGGAAGUCGGGGAAGAUGGGCGUCGGGAGCCCCUUCAUGAAGAUGUCGGCGAACUGUGACGUCGAGGGCACGUGGAGGACCCGAACGUCGCCGAAGGUGACACGCUCACGAACAAAGAGAAGGUCGAUCUCGAUGUGCUUCGUCCGUUGGUGCUGCACAGGGUUGGUGGAGAGGUACAUCAUGCUCACAUUGUCGCAGUAGACGACGGUCGCCGCGGACGGGGGCCGUCGGAGCUCGCGGAGUAGCUGCCGGAGUCAAUACGCCUCAGCCACGUCGUUGGCGACGGCCUUGUACUCCGCCUCGGCGCUGGAGAGCGAGAUAGUCGGUUGACGCUUCGAGGACCAUGAGACAAGGUUGUCGACAACGUAGAUGCAGAAGCCUGAUGUAGACUUGCGUGUGUCGGGACAGCCGGCCCAGUCGGCGUCCGAGUACGCAAUCAACCUGUGGUAGGAGGAGCGCCGAAGAUGAAGACUGAGUUGCAAGGUGCCGCGGAUGUAGCGUAGGAUCCGCUUGAGGACGGUGUAGUGCGGUUCACGCGGGUCGUGCACGAAUAGACAGACCUGCUGAACAGCGUAGGCGAUGUUCGGACGCGUGAGGGUGAGGUACUGGAGAGCUUCCGCUAAGCUGCAAUAGUGAGACGGGUCGGAGAGGGGAGGGCCGUCGGAAGCGGAGAGCUUGGAGCGAGUGUCAAUGGGCGUAGUGGCAGGCUUACAGUUGCUCAUGUGGGUGCGCUCAAGAACCUCUAAGGCAUACUGGUGCUGCGAGAGAAACAACCUGUGUGUGCCACAAGUGACAUUGAUGCCUAAAAAGUAGUGGAGAUCACCAAGGCCAGUCAUGGAAAACUCGCGGUGGAGCUGUGCGAUGAUGUGGCAAAGUACACCACCGAAGACAUCGAUGGUAUGAAUGACGAUGUCGGAGAUGAACAAGGCCAGGACCCGCCGUUUAGCGGACGUUGGACGGCCACCUCCUGAUAUGACGUGUAUAUGGUGGACACACCCAAAGAAGAUGACGGCGACGGCAGGAAGGAUCCGGUCGAGGACGAGCCUGUUGAGGCACCACCAAAGCGUCGACGUCAGUGGCGCCGUUCCAAAUCGCGUCGCGAAAAAGACAGUAAUACCGGCACCGGAGACAAUAACACUCCGGAUAAUGCCAAACACCCCGAAGCCCCCAUCGAGCCAACAUCUGAACAUGACAAUUGGGAGGAGGGGCAAGUCAACCCUGACGAUCCGGUCGGGAACGAGGACUCGGAGGAUAGUAACUAUCUACCACCCUCCGAAGACGACGUGAGCCUCGGUGACGAGGACUUCAUCGUGCCAGAGGAACCACUUGAGCAGGAGCGCUUUAAGCGCUAGCUAAUCGCCACGGCGAGAAGCCUAAAAAGAAGCAAAAAAACUCCAAGCCGAAUAGGAUACACUCAACGACAGAUGGACCCAGGUCCUAGCUACCGAAGAGUAUGGUUUUGAACGCCCACCAAGAAGUUAUCCGAAGCGUCGGUUACUACCACAAUUCGACGAUGAGGCCCUCGAGCCAAUACCGUCAAGACACCACCGCGCUGAUGAACCAGACUGGCCACCGCGUGGACGGGACAGAGCGGCUACUCAGGCUGAACACCAGCCCGCACCACCCCACCUUAGAGGCAGAGAGACAGCGGCUCCAGGAUAUACCUACGACCUACGACAGGACCUGGACAAUAGAGUCGGUCAGACCAGAUCAAUCUAUGUAUCAAGGGGGCAUGCCCCAACGUGAGAGGACGGCCAUCAGGCCUGGCGCGAUAAGCACAACCUCACCCGGGCCAAAAAUCGCAUACGGACGUCAUCCAAACUUUGUCAUGAUGUCGCGCGAUACAGAGGCGCCGCACACCCCUUAUGCUUCACCGAUGAGGUAACGGAGCACCAGUUCCCAGAAGGGUUCAAACCGGUAAACAUUGAAUCAUACGAUGGAACGAUAGAUCCCGCAGUAUGGAUAGAAGAUUUUCUUCUCCAUAUCCACAUGGCUCGCGGUGAUGAUCUCCAUGCCAUCAAGUACCUCCCCCUGAAGCUCAAGGGACCAGCACGACACUAGUUAAAUAGCCUCCCAGAAAACUCUAUUGGUAGCUGGGAAGACUUGGAGGAUGCCUUUAGAGACUACUUCCAAGGCACCUAUGUCCGGCCUUCGGACGCCGACGACCUUAGUCACAUAGUCCAGCAACCCGGAGAGUCAGCCCGGAAGCUCUGGACCAGGUUCUUAAUCAAAAAGAACCAAAUUGUCGAUUGUCUGGACGCCGAAGCCCUCGUGGCCUUUAAACACAGCGUCCGAGACGAGUGGCUUGCCCGACACCUCGGCCAAGAAAAGCCAAAGUCUAUGGCAGCCCUCACUGCACUCAUGACCCGCUUUUGCGCGGGAGAAGAUAGCUGGCUAGCUCGUAGAAGCAACAACACCAGCGACCCCGGCACCUCCGAAGCCAUGGAUGGCAAUAGUAGGCCACAACACAACCAAAAAAAAGCAUCAAAACAACAACGAAAAUACCGAAGAUACGGCGGUCAACGCCGGAUUCAGUGGCUCCAAACCAGGUCUGCAAAAGAAGCCAUUCAAAUGAAACAAGGAUAGCCCAUCUAGUUUGGACAGGAUAUUCGAUCGGCCUUGCCAGAUUCAUGGCUCCCCUGACAAGCCUGCCAAUCACACGAACAGAAAUUGUUGGGUUUUCAAACAGGCCGGUAAGAUAAACACCGAAAAUAAGAGGAAAGGG
rnacentral:lncRNA from 1 species